rnacentral:rRNA from 1 species
GCUACGGGAGGCAGCAGUGAGGAAUAUUGGUCAAUGGACGAGAGUCUGAACCAGCCAAGUAGCGUGAAGGAUGACUGCCCUAUGGGUUGUAAACUUCUUUUAUAUGGGAAUAAAAUGUUCCACGUGUGGGAUUUUGUAUGUACCAUAUGAAUAAGGCUCGGCUAACUCCGUUCCAGCAGCCGCGGUAAUACGGAGGAUCCGAGCGUUAUCCGGAUGAAUUGGGGUUAAAGGGACCGUAGGUGGAUUGUUAAGUCAGUUGUGAAAGUUUGGGGCUCAACCGGAAAAUUGCAGUUGAAACUGGCAGUCUUGAGUACAGUAGAGGUGGGCAGAAUUCGUGGUGUAGCGGUGAAAUGCUUAGAUAUCACGAAGAACUCCGAUUGCGAAGGCAGUUCACUGGACUGCAACUGACACUGAGGCUCGAAAGUGUGGGUAUCAAACAGGAUUAGAUACCCUAGUAGUC